rnacentral:rRNA from 1 species
AGUGAACGCUGGCGGUAGGCCUAACACAUGCAAGUCGAACGGCAGCACAGUAAGAGCUUGCUCUUACGGGUGGCGAGUGGCGGACGGGUGAGGCAUACAUCGGAAUCUACUUUUUCGUGGGGGAUAACGUAGGGAAACUUACGCUACUACCGCAUACGACCUACGGGUGAAAGCAGGGGAUCUUCGGACCUUGCGCGAUUGAAUGAGCCGAUGUCGGAUUAGCUAGUUGGCGGGGUAAAGGCCCACCAAGGCGACGAUCCGUAGCUGGUCUGAGAGGAUGAUCAGCCACACUGGAACUGAGACACGGUCCAGACCCCUACGGGAGGCAGCAGUGGGGAAUAUUGGACAAUGGGCGAAAGCCUGAUCCAGCCAUACCGCGUGGGUGAAGAAGGCCUUCGGGUUGUAAAGCCCUUUUGUUGGGAAAGAAAAGCAGCAGGUUAAUACCCCGCUGUUCUGACGGUACCCAAAGAGUAAGCACCGGCUAACUUCGUG